rfam:Myotis brandtii contig295147, whole genome shotgun sequence.
GGUAGUUCUUGGGUGAUGCACCCUGGAAUGGGGCUCCCUACUCUCUGCUUCUGGUUGUGUCACCCAAGAAUCGCA